UACGUAGGGGGCAAGCGUUGUUCGGAAUUAUUGGGCGUAAAGCGCGUGUAGGCGGCUUAGCAAGUCGGGCGUGAAAGCCCUCGGCUCAACCGAGGAAGUGCACCCGAAACUGCUGAGCUUGAGUGCCGGAGAGGAUGGCGGAAUUCCCCAAGUAGAGGUGAAAUUCGUAGAUAUGGGGAGGAACACCGGUGGCGAAGGCGGCUCACUGGCCCGGUACUGACGCUGAGGUGCGAAAGCGUGGGGAGCAAACAGG
rnacentral:rRNA from 1 species